UGGGUCGGCAAGACGGUCGCGUCACGCGCUGCUUCUGAAAAGGUGCAGCGCGUGCCGAGGAACGUCCGGGCUCCACAGGGCAGGAUGGUGGGUAACACCCACCCGGGGUAACCCGCGAGAAAGUGCAACAGAAAGCAGACCGCCACUGACUUCGGUCAGGGGUAAGGGUGAAACGGUGGUGUAAGAGACCACCAGCGGCCCGAGUGAUCGGGUCGGCUGGGUAAACCUCGUCCGGAGCAAGGUCAGACAGAAGGCGUCACGGGUGGCCCGCCCAGUCUUCGGGUAGACCGCUGGAGGGCUGCGGCAACGUAGUCCCGAGAUAGAUGGCCGUCCAUCGCCGCUCGCGCGGCAGGGACAGAACCCGGCGUAUCAGCCGGCCCAUUCG
rnacentral:RNase_P_RNA from 1 species